rnacentral:rRNA from 1 species
AUUGAACGCUGGCGGCAGGCCUAACACAUGCAAGUCGAGCGGAUGAAGGGAGCUUGCUCCUGGAUUCAGCGGCGGACGGGUGAGUAAUGCCUAGGAAUCUGCCUGGUAGUGGGGGAUAACGUCCGGAAACGGGCGCUAAUACCGCAUACGUCCUGAGGGAGAAAGUGGGGGAUCUUCGGACCUCACGCUAUCAGAUGAGCCUAGGUCGGAUUAGCUAGUUGGUGGGGUAAAGGCCUACCAAGGCGACGAUCCGUAACUGGUCUGAGAGGAUGAUCAGUCACACUGGAACUGAGAAACGGUCCAGACUCCUACGGGAGGCAGCAGUGGGGAAUAUUGGACAAUGGGCGAAAGCCUGAUCCAGCCAUGCGGCGGGUGUGAAGAAGGUCUUCGGAUGGUAAAGCACUUUAAGUUGGGAGGAAGGGAAGUAAGUUAAUACCUGGCUGUUUUGACGUUACCAACAGAAUAAGCACCGGCUAACUUCGU